AACACUUGUGACUAAGCGGGGCGCCAAUUGGGUGACCGAUGAGCCGCCAGCCUGCGCGGGGCUCCUGCGAGACAAAGGCCACCGCCCGACGCGCGAGCGCCAGCCCCAGCCCGGGAGCUCCGGCUGCCAGCGCUUGACGCACGCGGAGACCUCAGGCCUGGCCUUGUGGAACCCGAGAGCGGCUCGGCGAAGCCAGAUGGAGAUGCACUGAAAUGAAGAAAUUCUCAAGCGACUAGGUGACUGGGAUUGUGCAGCGAUUUGUUCCCUAUCUUGUAGCCGAAGGCCCUGCACUAGCUAAUGGAAGGGGAGGAGGAAUUUCACCGGAACUAAAGUGGAAAUGACCCAGUAAGGAAGGAAAAUAAGCACGACCUACCCUGGUCACACAAUUGAAAUACAUACCCAAGCCAAAGGUCAUUUUCAUAGUUGGGUGAGGUGACACUUCAGAAGUGAGAUGAGCUACAGCUGGUAGCUGGCUUCUCCCUGGGAUGUGCAUUUAGAUCUCCUUCCUGUCAGUCUCAAAUAUUCUACCUGCACCCAGGAUCUGAAAGUUUUCAUCUAAUCAUCUAAGAAAGUGGAAUGAACCACAACAUCCCCUGUAAUGACAGAAGAAAGGGCUGUUUUCCAGCAGCCUGUGGCUAGCAGUCUGUGGAAAGUCUGCUGAAAUAGACCCUGGGCAAGGGAGAAGGAAAGGGAAGUUAUGAAGGGAGGAAAGGGGAAAGUAGAGGAUAAACUGUUCGAGUUUGGUCCAGUUUUCAACUAGGAGGGAUGGAAGUUGACACUUUUCUCGGAAUUGAGACUACAUAACAAAUUUCACUGUAAGAAAUUCCUCUCCACCCUGAUAUUCAGAUCACAUGUUCUUUUUGAGUACUUUAUCUCACUUUUCCCAAUAACAAUUUUAUGACAUGUUUGACUCCAUUCAUCUUAU